rnacentral:rRNA from 1 species
AAGGCUGACCUCAAAUCAGGAGGACUACC